rnacentral:rRNA from 1 species
AAUGAACGCUGGCGGCAGGCCUAGCACAUGCAAGUCGAACGGAUCCUUCGGGAUUAGUGGCGGACGGGUGAGUAACGCGUGGGAACAUACCCUUUGGUACGGAAUAGCCUCGGGAAACUGGGAGUAAUACCGUAUGUGGUCGAGAGACGAAAGAUUUAUCGCCAAAGGAUGUGCCCGCGUUGGAUUAGGUAGUUGGUGGGGUAAUGGCCUACCAAGCCGACGAUCCAUAGCUGGUUUGAGAGGAUGAUCAGCCACACUGGGACUGAGACACGGCCCAGACUCCUACGGGAGGCAGCAGUGGGGAAUCUUAGACAAUGGGGGAAACCCUGAUCUAGCCAUGCCGCGUGAUCGAUGAAGGCCUUAGGGUUGUAAAGAUCUUUCAGGUGGGAAGAUAAUGACUGUACCACCAGAAGAAGCCCCGGCUAACUCCGUGCCAGCAGCCGCGGUAA